rnacentral:rRNA from 1 species
UACGGAGGGUGCAAGCGUUAUCCGGAUUUAUUGGGUUUAAAGGGUCCGUAGGCGGGCCGAUAAGUCAGAGGUGAAAUCCUACAGCUUAACUGUAGAACUGCCUUUGAUACUGUUGGCCUUGAAUUUUUGUGAAGUUGCUGGAAUAAGUAGUGUAGCGGUGAAAUGCAUAGAUAUUACUUAGAACACCAAUUGCGAAGGCAGGUAACUAACAAACGAUUGACGCUGAUGGACGAAAGCGUGGGGAGCGAACAGG